rnacentral:rRNA from 1 species
CCUACGGGUGGCAGCAGUGGGGAAUUUUCCGCAAUGGGCGAAAGCCUGACGGAGCAAGACCGCGUGGGGGAGGAAGGCUCUUGGGUUGUAAACCCCUUUUAUCAGGGAAGAAAAAAAUGACGGUACCUGAUGAAUCAGCCUCGGCUAACUCCGUGCCAGCAGCCGCGGUAAUACGGAGGAGGCAAGCGUUAUCCGGAAUUAUUGGGCGUAAAGAGUCCGUAGGUGGUGAAGCAAGUCGGCGGUUAAAGACUGGGGCUUAACUCCAGAGAGGCCGUGGAAACUGCAGCACUAGAGGGCGGUAGGGGUAGAGGGAAUUCCCGGUGUAGCGGUGAAAUGCGUAGAUAUCGGGAAGAACACCAGUGGCGAAAGCGCUCUACUGGACCGCAACUGACACUGAGGGACGAAAGCUAGGGGAGCGAAUGGGAUUAGAUACCCUGGUAGUC